rnacentral:rRNA from 1 species
CUUGCUUCUCUUGAGAGCGGCGGACGGGUGAGUAAUGCCUAGGAAUCUGCCUGGUAGUGGGGGAUAACGUCCGGAAACGGACGCUAAUACCGCAUACGUCCUACGGGAGAAAGCAGGGGACCUUCGGGCCUUGCGCUAUCAGAUGAGCCUAGGUCGGAUUAGCUAGUUGGUGGGGUAAUGGCUCACCAAGGCGACGAUCCGUAACUGGUCUGAGAGGAUGAUCAGUCACACUGGAACUGAGACACGGUCCAGACUCCUACGGGAGGCAGCAGUGGGGAAUAUUGGACAAUGGGCGAAAGCCUGAUCCAGCCAUGCCGCGUGUGUGAAGAAGGUCUUCGGAUUGUAAAGCACUUUAAGUUGGGAGGAAGGGCAGUAAAUUAAUACUUUGCUGUUUUGACGUUACCGACAGAGUAAGCACCGGCUAACUCUGUGCCAGCAGCCGCGGUAAUACAGAGGGUGCAAGCGUUAAUCGGAAUUACUGGGCGUAAAGCGCGCGUAGGUGGUUCGUUAAGUUGGAUGUGAAAUCCCCGGGCUCAACCUGGGAACUGCAUUCAAAACUGACGAGCUAGAGUAUGGUAGAGGGUGGUGGAAUUUCCUGUGUAGCGGUGAAAUGCGUAGAUAUAGGAAGGAACACCAGUGGCGA